GAUGAUUUUGGCUCACAUUUAACAAAAACCCACCAAUUCACUAUCUCAAAAAAUUAGAAUACAUCAUAAGACCAAUAAAAAAAACAUUUUUAGUGAAUUGUUGGCCUUCUGGAAAGUAUGUUAAUUUACUGUAUAUGUACUCAAUACUUGGUAGGGGCUCCUUUUGCUUUAAUUACUGCCUCAAUUCGGCGUGGCAUGGAGGUGAUCAGUUUGUGGCACUGCUGAGGUGGUAUGGAAGCCCAGGUUUCUUUGACAGUGGCCUUCAGCUCAUCUGCAUUUUUUAGUCUCUUGUUUCUCAUUUUCCUCUUGACAAUAUCCCAUAGAUUCUCUAUGGGGUUCAGGUCUGGUGAGUUUGCUGGCCAGUCAAGCACACCGACACCAUGGUCAUUUAACCAACUUUUGGUGCUUUUGGCAGUGUGGGCAGGUGCCAAAUCCUGCUGGAAAAUGAAAUCAGCAUCUUUAAAAAGCUGGUCAGCAGAAGGAAGCAUGAAGUGCUCCAAAAUUUCUUGGUAAACGGGUGCAGUGACUUUGGUUUUCAAAAAACACAAUGGACCAACACCAGCAGAUGACAUUGCACCCCAAAUCAUCACAGACUGUGGAAACUUAACACUGGACUUCAAGCAACUUGGGCUAUGAGCUUCUCUACCCUUCCUCCAGACUCUAGGACCUUGGUUUCCAAAUGAAAUACAAAACUUGCUCUCAUCUGAAAAGAGGACUUUAGACCACUGGGCAACAGUCCAGUUCUUCUUCUCCUUAGCCAAGGUAAGACGCCUUUGACGUUGUCUGUGGUUCAGGAGUGGCUUAACAAGAGGAAUACAACAACUGUAGCCAAAUUCCUUGACAUGUCUGUGUGUGGUGGCUCUUGAUGCCUUGACCCCAGCCUCAGUCCAUUCCUUGUGAAGUUCACCCAAAUUCUUGAAUCGAUUUUGCUUGACAAUUCUCAUAAGGCUGCGGUUCUCUCGGUUGGUUGUGCAUCUUUUUCUUCCACACUUCGCCUUUUCAGUUUUAUACCUCUUGCAUAGUACAGGUCAAGCUCUUCAUUGCUUGGCUUUUUAAAAGAAAUAAAAAUACUCAUUUAUGACUUGAAAACAAAUAUUUUAGGCAGAUCCUAUUUAAAGCAAAAAUGGUAGAUGCUAUUUGCACAUUGAUAAAUACUAACACUGUUGAAGGGAAUCACUGGCAGCAUUUAUUUUGAUUAUUUGAAGUCACACAGAAACCGUACUCCUACCCCUAAACCUAAACUAAACCUUAAAGGCCUAUUCACACCAAAUUCGGGAAAAAUUUGCAAGAUGGCCCUCUGACGAAAGGUCUAUUAACACAGAGAUUGUUACUAAUAAAUUGAAAAACAAUUUCGCCCCUGUACAGUAGGCGCUGCUGUUGCUGUUUUACAAACAUAUUUCUUUUGUUUUUCUGCUCGGACUUUAUUCAGCUGUCAAUGCAUAAGAUUAUUAUACUUAAUGUUAUUAAGGUAUUUCUUUACCUGAUUUGGCAUAACUGUUAUUUCCAUGUUUUUGAUGCAAUUUAUACAAGUGAUUUGAGUAAAGAGCAUUGUUUAGGGGCGUGUCCAGAUGGGGGGCAUGGGGUGGUCCUGGCCCCCAUUUAAAUCUGAUUGACCACCCCAAAUUCUUAGCUGUGAUUGGUCAUUUCGAACGGUUAAUCGAGUGGACUCUGGGGAAAAACUGCAUACAGUCAUCCGAAAUGAAAUGAACACGCACUGUAGCUCACGCUGCCAUUCACAUCCGUCAGACCGUAACACUGAAGCGCAUUAUCUUCUUUAUUGUCUCAAAAAAUAGUAUUACGUCAUGCCACGGUAGUGUCCUCUCUCCAAAACUCCACAAAACUACCAUGUGUUUAAUGUUACAUGGUGUGCUAUUCCUAAAGAGACAGUAAUCAUUUUAGCAGCAUCCAUAACAUUUAUGCAGUUUCAAGUAAACUACAUAAAUAAAAACUUGUAUUGAAAAAAUAUUAAAAAUACAUGCAAUUUGGAGUCUUCUGUGUUUUGCAGUAUUAACAUUUAAUAAUUAAUCAAUUAAUUAAACAUUCGACUAUUACAUUUUUUUGAAAAUGUUCAUAUCUUAUUAUUAUUAUUACUGUUAUUAUUAUCAUCAGGGAUGUUGGGUUACGCUUCAUGCUACCCUUGAAUGAGACUGUGCCCCACAUGGACACCCCAGUAAGAAAGUCUGAAGGCCACUGGAGCUGCUGCACAAAUACAAGUCCUCUUUAUAUGUAUUAAUGCUCUACCACACUCUGAGCAGACAUAAGCUUUGAAAACAGUAUGUAUUCUCUGGUGUUGUUUAAAAUAGGCCAUCUGUGAAAAACAUUUCCACCCCGAGUGGUGUAAUUUCUCUAAUAAAUUAUAUGUAAUAUGAAAUCUUGGGUUUGCUUUAUUUGUAAAACUUUUCCCACAUUGAGGGCAUGUAAAAGGCUUCUCUCCAGAGUGAAUUCGCAUGUGAUCUUUGAAUGAGAGGAGCGAACUUUCACAGAAUUUGGCAGAGGAGCAUGGCACCAAACUGAAACGGAGCCCGUGGCUCUUUUUGUCCCCAUAUUUAGAAUUUCAGAGGCAUUUCUGAACUAAAUGAUCAUCGAAGGAGUUCUUCCAGGCAGAGCGAUGUGGACCAGACACAGGAUGCAGUGGUUACAGAAUGGACAGCAAGCACACAGCUGCUGGUGUACGGGCACCCGAGCGGAGGAGAUGGGAAGACAGAUGAGGUUGGAGAAAAAAUUGAAUGGCUCUUUAAAGCUGAAGAAAUUUCUGUGCCACUGAAAGGAACUGCAAAAAUAAACAGUUUUCAAAAUAGUUUUCUGAAUACGCCACUCUUCUGCCGUUGAUCAAACAAAGAGAUAGUCCAACCCCCAACUCACGCCAUUGGUAGAGUCAUAGUUUGGUGUCUGUAUGGACGGGCCACUCAAAGCAAAGAGUAAUUUUUAUAGUGCUACAGUAACAAAAUUAACAUAGAAAAAUGUACAUACUUCAAACUGUAAGGUGUGACAUCAAUUCCAACCAGUCUGUAACAUCCGAGGUUGUUACCCCUCCUACCAACCACCAGAGGGAGCCCUCUUCCGAAUACUUACUCUGUACCGUUUCUUCUUUGGUGACUUCCUGUUUAAACUAUAUAAAUACCAUGCUGUUCCAUUUUGACUUUGCAAAGUAUUGCCAGUUUACCCUGCCUUACCAAGCAUUUUUCCAUUGCCAUUGCUAAUUGUUCUCGUUAUGACCAUUGCCUGUUUUCCUGGAUUUACUACCUUUGGAUACCCCUUGGUUUUGUUUGCCUUGUUGGACUGUCUUUUUGGUUUAUUGGAUUAUACCGCCUGCUUAACAAUUACCUCUAUUUGCCUGCCGAUUUGGAUUGUUUGCUUGUGUUCUUUAAUAAACUUCCUGCACAUGGAUCCUAACACCGUCUCCAUGGCCAGUUCGUUACACAGUCGCCAUAUUAAGCAUUACAAUGUCUUCCUUUUGCAUGUAUAGGAAUGACCCAUCUCAUCCUUCAAAUCAAAUCACGUUUAUUUAUAGAGCACAUUUAAAAACAACCAUGGUUGACCAAAGUGAUGUACAGUGGCAUCACAGUCAAGACAGUAUAACAGAAAUAAUACAUUGGUAGUAGGGCAAUUUCACAGCUUAACCAUGAUUUAAGGUAAAUUAAAAGCUAAUGAAAAUAAGAAAGUUUUAAGAAACGAUUUAAAAACAGAUAGAGAGGAGGCGGUCCUGAGGUAAUCUGGUAAAAUGUUCCACAGUUUGGGGCCAGUGAUACAAAAAUCACGAUCACCUCUAUGCUUCAUCCUGGAUCUAGAAACAGACAUAAGUCCAUGAUCCCCCGGAUCUGAGUGAUCUGGUUGGGUUGUGCGGACGAACCAAAUCACAGAGAUAAUGGGGUGCCAGAUUGUUUAAUGAUUUAUAGACAAAUGUUAAAAUCUUAAAAUCAAUUGGAAAUCUAACAGGCAACCAGUGCAAGGAGAUCAGGAUGGGAGUGAUGUGUUCAAGUUUACGACUGCCCGUUAAAAGAUGUGCCGCAGCAUUUUGGACCAUCUGCAGGCGGGAUAGAGCUGAUUGGUGCAGGCCAGAGUACAGAGAAUUACAGUAAUCCAAGCAUGAAGAAAUAAAAGCAUGGAUCACAAUUUCAAAAAUUUUCCUGGACAGAAAAGGUUUUGUUUUAGCUAGGCGACGUAGGUGGAAAAAACAUGAUCUAACCACUUCGUUAAUUUGUUUAUCGAACUUUAGGCUACUAUCAAAGAAAAAGCCCAGGUUUUAAGUGUGAGAAGUGAGAUGAGGAGUGAGAAUAUCCAAAUUAAUGUUGUUCACUGUUUUAAGCUUGUUUGGUCCAAGAAGGAUAAUUUCUGUUUUACUCUCAUUAAGGUGUAGGAAAUUAUCUGUCAGCUAGGUUUUGAGUUCCUGCAGACAAGCAAAGAGAGGGUCAAGAGCUUGUUGGUCAUGACAUUUUAUAUGUACAUAGAUCUGUGUGUCGUCGGUGUAACAAUGAAAUAACACCCCAUAUUUGUUAAAGAUUGCGCCCAUAGGAAGCAUAUAUAAAGAAAAUAGGGUUGGAGCGAGGAUCGAGCCCUGCGGAACACCACAGGCAAACUGUGCCACAGAGGAGGUGUGCUGGCCCACUCCAAUCCAGAACCGUACCUUGAAUACCAACACAAUGCUCAAAGCAUGAAAUAAGGAUAUUGUGGUCAACCAGAUCAAAUGCUGAGCUAAGAUCUAAGAGGACCAGGGCCAUGACAUUCCCAGAGUCUGUAGUCAUUAAGAUGUCAUUUAGUACUUUUAGUAGAGCAGAUUCUGUACUAUGCAUAGCCCGACUGGAGAGGUUCACGGAUAGAGUUCAUUUAAAAAAAAUGACUGCAACUGGGUUAAAACUGCCUUCUCCAUAAUCUUCACAAUAAAAGGCAAGUUAGAGAUAGGCCUAAAAUUGGUACAGAUAGCAGGAUCCAAAGUGGAAUUUUGAGGAGAGGUGUCACCGUUGCAAGUUUAAGGCAAGUCAGGACAGUCCCACUGCAGAGACAGUUGUUAAUAACAGACAAUAAAUCUGGACCAAUCGUGUCAAAUAUUUGCUUGAAAAAAACGUGGUGGUA